CCUACGGUAGGCAGCAGUGGGGAAUAUUGCGCACUGGGCGAAAGCCUGACGCAGCGACGCCGCGUGAUUGAUGAAGUUCUUCGGAUCGUACACCUCUGUCAGCAGGGAAGAACGGUCACUGUGCUAAUCAGCAGUGAAUUGACGGUACCUGCAACGGAAGCACCGGCUAACUCCGUGCCAGCAGCCGCGGUAAUACGGAGGGUUCGAGCGUUAAUCGGAAUUACUGGGCGUAAAGCGCUCGUAGGCGGUAUGUCAAGUCAAGGGUGAAAUCCCCGCGCUCAACGUGGGAACUGCCUUUGAAACUGGCAAACUGGAGUGUGGGAGAGGAUAGUGGAAUUCCAGGUGUAGGAGUGAAAUCCGUAGAUAUCUGGAGGAACAUCAGUGGCGAAGGCGACUAUCUGGCACAUAACUGACGCUGAGGAGCGAAAGCGUGGGUAGCAAACAGGAUUAGAUACCCGUGUAGUC
rnacentral:rRNA from 1 species